CAGCAGCCGCGGUAAUACGUAGGUGGCAAGCGUUGUCCGGAAUUAUUGGGCGUAAAGGGCUCGCAGGCGGUUUCUUAAGCCUGAUGUGAAAGCCCCCGGCUCAACCGGGGAGGGUCAUUGGAAACUGGGAAACUUGAGUGCAGAGGAGGAGAGUGGAAUUCCACGUGUAGCGGUGAAAUGCGUAGAGAUGUGGAGGAACACCAGUGGCGAAGGCGACUCUCUGGUCUGUAACUGACGCUGAGGAGCGAAAGCGUGGGGAGCGAACAGGAUUAGAUACCCCAGUAGUCCCUGUCUCUUAUAA
rnacentral:rRNA from 1 species